rnacentral:rRNA from 1 species
GAUGAACGCUGGCGGCGUGCUUAACACAUGCAAGUCGAACGAGAAGUGAAGACGGAAACCUUCGGGCGGAAGGCUUUAUUUCGAGUGGCGGACGGGUGAGUAACGCGUGGGUAACCUGCCUCAUACAGGGGGAUAACAGUUGGAAACGACUGUUAAUACCGCAUAAGACCACAGCACCGCAUGGUGCGGGGGUAAAAACUCCGGUGGUAUGAGAUGGACCCGCGUUCGAUUAGCCAGUUGGCGGGGUAACGGCCCACCACAGCGACGAUCGAUAGCCGAUCUGAGAGGAUGACCGGCCACAUUGGGACUGAGACACGGCCCAAACUCCUACGGGAGGCAGCAGUGGGUAAUAUUGCACAAUGGGGGAAACCCUGAUGCAGCGACGCCGCGUGAGUGAAGAAGUAUUUCGGUAUGUAAAGCUCUAUCAGCAGGGAAGAAAAUGACGGUACCUGAGUAAGAAGCCCCGGCUAACUACGUG